UUGCUUGCUUCAGCAGCACAUGUACUAAAAUUGGACCGAUACAGAGAAGAUUAGCAUGGCCCCCCACACAAAGGUGACUCGCAAAUUCAUGAAGCGGUCCAUAUUUUU
ensembl:snRNA U6 U6 spliceosomal RNA